rnacentral:snoRNA from 1 species
GCGAAUGAUGAUAUUUUUUAACUCGGAAACACCUUUGCGGUGUCGCUGAAGAUUAAAAACAGCAACAACAACACUCUAAUUUUUUACUGACG